rnacentral:rRNA from 1 species
AUUGAACGCUGGCGGCAUGCCUUACACAUGCGAGUCGAACGGCAGCAUGAUCUAGCUUGCUAGAUUGAUGGCGAGUGGCGAACGGGUGAGUAAUACAUCGGAACGUGCCCUGUAGUGGGGGAUAACUAGUCGAAAGAUUAGCUAAUACCGCAUACGACCUGAGGGUGAAAGUGGGGGACCGCAAGGCCUCAUGCUAUAGGAGCGGCCGAUGUCUGAUUAGCUAGUUGGUGAGGUAAAGGCUCACCAAGGCGACGAUCAGUAGCUGGUCUGAGAGGACGAUCAGCCACACUGGGACUGAGACACGGCCCAGACUCCUACGGGAGGCAGCAGUGGGGAAUUUUGGACAAUGGGCGAAAGCCUGAUCCAGCAAUGCCGCGUGUGUGAAGAAGGCCUUCGGGUUGUAAAGCACUUUUGUCCGGAAAGAAAUGGCUCUGGUUAAUACCUGGGGUCGAUGACGGUACCGGAAGAAUAAGGACCGGCUAACUACGU